rnacentral:lncRNA from 1 species
UCUCAAAUAGCUUUGACACAUUUGUUUAAACUCUUUUAAAAAUAAAGAUGUGAGAUACUAUUCCUACAGUUCCACCUGAACUGAAAAGUCUGAGCUCAGUUUUGCUCAUGCUAUGUUUUCUCUUGAUGAAUGAUAACAAGUAAGAAAAGAUUCAGAUAUUGUGCUUCAAUUUCUAAGAAAAUCCACAUUCUUACUCUAAUUCCAGGAAGGAUAACUAAACAUAUACAGUCCUAAUCAUCAUUUUCCUCGUCAUCAAAUGAGAGAAGACUGCUGUUUUUCACUUGCUUGGCUGUACUCUGAGAAGAAGUUGCUUCUCUGUCAGUUUUCUUUGUCUUUUUCAUCUUCUUACUUGAACUUACAUUGAAGUCCAAAACCUUCUCUGAUGAACGUUUGGCUGGCUUCCUGAACAUAAUUUUUCCAUCAGCAGAUUCUGGUUCACCAUCUUGUUCACUUGACUUCAAGGCCUCUUUGAUUUGCUGUUUAAUUUUCAUUGCUUCUUCAGCAGUCAAGUCCCCUUUUUUCAGCGUUACCACUUGAGGCUGCUCAUCUUCAUUAUCACUGCCAUUCUCAGAAUCACUAUCCGCAAGUGGAAGCUGUUCUCUCUUGGUUUCCACCGUGGGCCCCUCCCGAUACCCGACCUGCCGCUUAAAGCGGCUGAGGAAAGCGGGCUCGGCCGGCCGCACGUAGGAGACCUGGUUCCUUUUGCUCAUGACCGCGGCCCCCGGCUCAGCCACAAACGGCCGGCCAGCCGCCCUCUUCCG